UACGUAGGGGGCAAGCGUUGUCCGGAAUCAUUGGGCGUAAAGAGCGUGUAGGCGGCCCGGUAAGUCCGUUGUGAAAGUCCAGGGCUCAACCCUGGAAAGCCGAUGGAUACUGCCGGGCUAGAGUUCGGAAGAGGCGAGUGGAAUUCCUGGUGUAGCGGUGGAAUGCGCAGAUAUCGGGAGGAACACCUGUGGCGAAAGCGGCUCACUGGACCACAACUGAUGCUGAGGCGCGAAAGCUAGGGGAGCAAACAGG
rnacentral:rRNA from 1 species